rnacentral:lncRNA from 1 species
UUUUUUUUUUUUUUUCUUUUCCCAGUAUCACAUGUGACUCAAUUGCAGUAUCAGGGAGAGCUUUCUGAUGCUAAGAGUUGAGUUUGGAAGGAAGAUGCCCUUUACUCAGACGGAGAAGGGUGGGAAUGCGGUUACAGUCAGAUCAGCAUAAGCAAAGGCACUGAAAGGUGAAACGAAUAUGCUGGGAACAGCAAGAAUUUUGGCAGUCGAAUUUAUUUAUUUUUUCAUUUCUUACAUAUUAGAGACAGGGUCUUGCUCUUUCACCCAGGCUGGAGUGCAGGCGCAAUUAAGACUAACUGCAGCCUCGACUUCCUGGGGUCAAGCUAUCCUUCCGCCUCAGCCUCCCGAGUAGCUGGGAAUACAGGCGCGAGCCACCACGCCCCCCCAGCUAUCCAAUUUAACGUGCAAUUCGAGGCAGGAUGCUGUGGUUCACACCUGUAAUCCCAGCACUUUGGGAGGCCAAGGCGGGUGGAUCACCAGAGGUCAGGAGUUCGUCAGCCUGGCCAACAUGGUGAAACCCCAUCUGUACUUAAAAUACAAAAUUAGCCAGGUGUGGUGGUGCAUGCCUGUAGUUCUAGCUACUCUGGAGGCUGAGACAGGAGAACUGCUUGAACCCGGGAGGUGGAGGCUGCAGUGAGCCGAGAUGGCACCACUGCCCUCCAACGUGGGCAACAGAGCAAGACUCCGUCUCAAAAAAACAAAACAAAAUAAAGUGCAAUUCGAGAGUAUCAAGGAAUACAGUUGUAGUGAUGGGCUGGGAGGGCUAGGUUAAGGAGGAGGGCCUGAUGUGCCAUGUUAAGACGCUCUGUUUACAUUCCGUAGAGACAACAGUGAACCGUUGAAAGCUUUUAAAUAGAGGCUUAUUUUGGUUGUGUUUGUGUUUUAGGUAAAUUACUCUGCUUUGCAAUAUAAAGGAUUAAAAGAUAAAACUAGAAUAUCACAAUAAUCUGGGUGAGAGGUGAUGAGGAAUUAAACUGGGGCAGUAAGAGUAGGGAUUGAGAAACUAAAAAUCAUCCCAACUAAUAAUCAGACUGUAAUGUACACAUACAAGGCCAGGGACAAGGCCAAGCAAAAAAUGUUCCUCACAAGGAUACAUUACAGCUGUAAAAUGACUAACAACCUCUAUCUUUUGAGUGACUGAAUAGAUUCCUUGGCCUAGCUUUGUUCCGUUGUCCUCCAAAUUAAAGUUGCUAAGAUACUCAAUUACUAAACUGCCUUGCUUCCCCUAAUCCCUCCUUAGAAUUACUCAACUGAUACCCAAACUCUGCAUAAAACCUCACCCUAAUCUCUCUUAUA